UCUGUAUGAACGUUAAGAUCUGCUGAGAGGGUGGAGAUGCCUCCUGGACUGGCCCAAGCCAGUCCUCCUGUGUAAGUUUCCUUGCUUAUUAAAUCUGCCACCUACCUGCCUGGCUUUGGUUCUUCCUUGCCUUCAGUGUUUGGGGGGCCAGCUUCAGAUAUCCUCCGGGGAACUCCUGAGUUUUUAAGCCAGCACUCAGAAGUUGCGUUGUCAGGGGUCCCAUGCCUGUGGACCCACAGACCGCUGAGCUGGCAGGAAAGGCAAACCCACGCCUGGAAUUGGAAUCCUCACCUGUGAGGCUGCCUUUUCUUUCGGCCAUGCUGCACGACAUGUGGGAUCUUAGUUCCCUGAUCAAGGAUCAAACCCAUGUGCCCUCUGUAGACAGUGAUAAGUUUUAACCACUGGACCAUGAGGGAAGUCCUGACACCUGUGAGGAUGGGCUACAGGCUCUCCCUUUGCAGCUUGCUGAGACACACAGAGGCAGCGGCAGCUGAUCCACCUUGGUAAGUGGGAGUCCACAGUGCUGGGCUGUCUAUGGCCCCCAUCUCUGGCACAAUGACUUAUUCCAUCACGCACCUUUUAAGUUCUGGGUGGCCAGUGACAAUGGCUGACAGCAUCAGCUGACCGAGUCGUUUUGUCUCCUGGGUUGUUCAGUGGAUGCACAACCCGCGUAUCAUGUGGGUGUUUCUCGUGGGUGUGAACGUGUGACACGCAAGUCCAUCCUCUCUAUGGAGGGUCUGUGUGUGCCUCUGCGUGCCUCCACUCCAGAUUGUCUCAUCUCUGAUCUUCCAGAUUUUUUCUUUCCAGACCCCUGACUAAAGCCCAGACCUUUGGCUACUGCCCAGGAAUACUGAUACAGUCUCACUUCUGUCCAAAGUGAAGGACCAGAGGCGUUGUUUGCAGAUCUGCCCAGUGGGGAGUGUCCCCUCUCAGUGUCUUUCGAGUAUGCUCCGUGUUGAAAGAUAAACUUAGGCAUUUCAAAUAUUUUAAGAGUUUAUUUGGACAUUUUUUUAAUUCAAAUCAGCCAGCACCAAACUGUGUUUAGGCAGCUUCACCAGCUGGAGCUCAGAGACUGGCUUGUAGGAAGCAAGACAGGGACCUGCUGGUUGGAUACAGCUUACAGCCCAGCUGGGUGAAUGUGAUUGGCUGUCCUUAGUUUAGCUUUAAUAACCUUGAGGCAUUUCAGCCUUAGAUUUUGGUUUGCUGACUCAGGCUGCCAGGACCUUGGACCGUAUCAGCCUAACAGCCUCCUAUUUGAUUACCACCCUGAAGACGGCUGUAAUGCAGCUGCCAACUGUUUUCAGCUUGAACCACUGCAAGGAAUGUUUAGGAGACAGAAUCGAGUAUAAAUUCCAUCAGAGUAGGAUUUUUUUUUUUUUGGCUGUGCUGCUUGGCAUAUGUGAUCUUAGUUACCUGACCAGGGAUCGAACCCAGGCCAAUGGCAGUUGAUGUGCAGAUUCCUAACCACUGGACUACCAAGAAAGUCCCCAGGGAAGACGGCAAUGAAGAGCAGUUUGUUCAUGACCUUGGAAAAACCAAGAGAGUUGUUUUUACCGUCACCAGUAUUUACUGAGCACUGACUGCGUCAGGUCCUUAGGACACAUCAGUGGACCAAACAAGAACCCUGCCCUCUGAACUUUCCUUUCAUCGACCUCUUUCAAAGCUCCAAUUCAGGGCUAAUGUGGAGAGUCAGGCAGCGUCCUAGGGUCUGUGGGUCUUAGGCCAUAGAGAACACCCUUCACAUAAAAUCACUCUUCUUAUGCGGUGUAUACAGACCAUGGAAUACUUCCCAGCCAUCAAAAGGAAUGAAAUACCGUUACAUGCAGCAACAUGAAUGGACCUAGAGAUGAUCAUACUAAAUGAAAUAAGACAGGCAGGGAGAGACAAAUAUAUGCUCUCCUUUAUAUGUGGAAUCUGACAUAUUGCACAAGUAAACGUAUCUAUAGAACAGAAACAGACUCACAGGCAUAGAGAACAGGCUUAUGGUGGGCAAGGGGGCGGGAAGUGGGGAAAGGAUGGAAUGGGUGAGCAAAUACAAACCAUUAUACAUAGAAUGGAUAAACAAGGUCCUACUAUAUAGCACGGGGAACUAUAUCCAAUAUCCUGUGAUAAGCCAUAAUGGAAAAGAAUAUGAAAAAGAAUGUAUAUGAUUUAUGAUAACGGAGUCAC